UACGAAGGGUGCUAGCGUUGUUCGGAAUUACUGGGCGUAAAGCGCACGCAGGCGGAUUGAUAAGUCAGGGGUGAAAUCCCGGGGCUCAACCUCGGAAUUGCCUUUGAUACUGUCUGUCUUGAGACCGGGAGAGGUGAGUGGAAUUCCUAGUGUAGAGGUGAAAUUCGUAGAUAUUAGGAAGAACACCAGUGGCGAAGGCGGCUCACUGGACCUGUACUGACGCCCAUGUGCGAAAGCGUGGGGAGCAAACAGG
rnacentral:rRNA from 1 species